UACAGAGGGUGCAAGCGUUGUUCGGAAUCAUUGGGCGUAAAGCGCGUGUAGGCGGUCCGGUAAGUCCGCUGUGAAAGUCGGGGGGCUCAACCCUCGGAUGCCGGGUGGAUACUGUCGGGCUUGAGUACGGAAGAGGCGAGUGGAAUUCCGUGGUGUAGCGGUGAAAUGCGCAGAUAUCAAGGAGGAACACCAACUUAGCGAAGGCAGCUCGCUGGGCCGAUACUGACGCUGAGGAGCGAAAGCGUGGGGAGCGAACAGGA
rnacentral:rRNA from 1 species